rnacentral:rRNA from 1 species
AAAUUGAAGAGUUUUAUCAUGGCUCAGAUUGAACGCUGGCGGCAGGCCUAACACAUGCAAGUCGAACGGUAACAGGAA